rnacentral:rRNA from 1 species
GUGGGGAAUAUUGGGCAAUGGGGGCAACCCUGACCCAGCAACGCCGCGUGGAGGAAGAAGGCUUUCGGGUUGUAAACUCCUUUGACGAGGGACGAUAGUGACGGUACCUCGAAAACAAGCCACGGCUAACUACGUGCCAGCAGCCGCGGUAAUACGUAGGUGGCAAGCGUUGUCCGGAUUUACUGGGUGUAAAGGGCGCGUAGGCGGGCAGGCAAGUCAGAUGUGAAAUCUCCGGGCUCAACCCGGAAAUUGCAUUUGAAACUGCAGGUCUUGAGUAUCGGAGAGGCAAGCGGAAUUCCUAGUGUAGCGGUGAAAUGCGUAGAUAUUAGGAGGAACACCAGUGGCGAAGGCGGCUUGCUGGACGACAACUGACGCUGAGGCGCGAAAGCGUGGGGAGCAAACAGG